AGUAGAAGAAGAAGAAGACAAACAUGGAGAUGAUGUUGAACUGAAUCUACUCUACAUUGUACAUUCUGACAUCUCAUCUCUUCUUCACCAGGUCCUUGCUUACUUCCUGCUCUUGUCCACACAAACCAGAAGUAAGAAUGUCUGCUUCUGGUGGAAUGGCGUGUGAAGAAGUCGGCGAAGAAGUACCUUUUAUUCUAUGGUACGUCUCUGUCUUUCAAUGAUUAAAUCAAGAGUUUAUGCUAACUGAACAUGUUAAGGACUACUUUCAGAGCAGCAGCAAAGUCAGAAACUUCAAAGUGAUAGCUCUCCAAUCUGAUAACAUCACAAUCAAUAGAGUUGAGAGUCUUCUCAAAAGACACCAAACCUUUUACUGACCGGAUUACCGCUGAGUACAUCUGCUAUGGACGAGCACCUGGAGAAGAUACUGAAGUGAUUUUCUAGUAAGAGUUUUCUUAAGUGUUGGUACUAAAUGAAGCUGAGAAGCUCUCACGAGAAGCACACUUGCCGUCUCAUCUUAUGCUGUAACAGUUCUGACAG